UACGUAGGGGGCAAGCGUUGUCCGGAAUGACUGGGCGUAAAGGGAGUGUAGGUGGUUCUUUAAGUUGAAUGUGAAAGCCUGGGGCUUAACCCCAGAAUUGCAUUUAAUACUGAAGGGCUUGAGUGUGGGAGAGGUAAGUGGAAUUCCUAGUGUAGCGGUAAAAUGCAUAGAUAUUAGGAGGAACAUCAGUGGCGAAGGCGACUUACUGGAACAUAACUGACACUGAAACUCGAAAGCGUGGGGAGCAAACAGG
rnacentral:rRNA from 1 species